UGUGACGUGCUACACGUAACACAAUAUAAAUGCGAAACGUGACGUUGUUUCUAAGGAUUUCGGUCAAGCUUUUUUAUCUAAAAAUAUUUAGUGAUUUCAAACGAGAAUUCCAUUUUCUGUACGUUAUUACGAACAUGGAACACAUUACAGACUCCGCCAGACGGUCAGAUCGCAGAGCUGAUAGUCGGCCAGCCAAUGCUUCACUGAAUCUUUCAGGCCGGAAGACAUUGCACCGGGUGAGCGGCUGCCACAAGCUACCGACUGUUACCAUAGAAACGAACCCUUUGUCAGCGUCAUCAACCGAACAUUAGCUUUGGCUGAAGUAUCGAUGUAUCCACUUUUUUGUGUAUGUUUCUAUUUAAAGGUUUUACUAUUUAUAUGACUAUUAUUUGAAUUAGGUGUUUGGAAAAAAUGUACUUUGCAUCAUUUAUUCGCUGCAAUUUUGAUAUUGUUUGUUUUGUAUUGUUUGUUUUUUAGUUUGUUUUUUCAUUAAAUGUGUGUUGAACAAAUAAACGAUCCUACUAGUA